rnacentral:tRNA from 1 species
ACUCAAAUAGCUUAUUUAGAGCAUAACAUUGAAGAUGUUAAGGUAAUUUUAUGUUUUUGGGUA